UACGUAGGGUGCAAGCGUUGUCCGGAAUUAUUGGGCGUAAAGAGCUCGUAGGCGGUUAGUCACGUCGGCUGUGAAAACCCGGGGCUCAACCCCGGGCCUGCAUUCGAUACGGGCAGACUAGAGUUCGGUAGGGGAGUCUGGAAUUCCUGGUGUAGCGGUGAAAUGCGCAGAUAUCAGGAGGAACACCGGUGGCGAAGGCGGGACUCUGGGCCGAUACUGACGCUGAGGAGCGAAAGCGUGGGGAGCAAACAGG
rnacentral:rRNA from 1 species